rnacentral:lncRNA from 1 species
CCCGAACCGCCAAGAGCGGCGUGUCAAGGUUCACAUGGUGACUUACUAGGUCUGCUUAUCCGGUGACGACUGCUGCAACCCUGAAAAUCUUGCUCCCUGAUAUGUUAGGGUUGCUGCAACCACCAUGGACAGAGAGUUCCCAGCUUAUGUUGCUAUCAGUGACAAUAUCACCUUCAAGGUGCUUUCUCUCUUUUCCCCAAUCUAACUUCAUGCAAAUUAUUCUAUG